UGCAUUAACAGUAAAUAUUUUAGUAGUAAAAGCUUUAAAAGAAUUUUGUUAAUUUUUAUCAUCACAUCAUGUACCAAGCUGUUAAAAUGAAGCUAUGUGUUACACCUUUUUUCAGAGAUAACAAUAAACUCGAGGAAAUAGUAAAAGGAAAUGGUUUUCUAACAUAAACCAAAGUAUAAAAUUUGUAAAUAUUUAACUUCUGGAAUGAAUUGAAUUUGAGAUUUUCUGUAUUUUUCAAUGUUUAAUUUACUUUUAGGGAACAUCCCUGAUUUGAAUAGUACAGCUGGGGCGCCUUGCCUUCGAAAGCAAAAACAAAUAAAUACGAGUUAUGAAACAUCAGUUCCAAACAAUAGUUGGAUAACCUCUAGUGACAUUCCUUUACCUACAUAUGAUUCCUUUAAAACAGUGAUAAACUUUGCACGAUUAAUUUUCUAUUUAUAUUUUUACAGAAGUAAACUUUUGUAGAUUAAAAGAUUGAAUUUGACUCGACAGCCAAUCCAACAAAAGUCUCUAGUAAUCGAUGCACUUGAAUCUGUUGAUAAUAAGACAGCCACAACUAAAAAAAAGGUUUAUUUUGUAGAUGCAUCACAAAUGGGUAAGAAGGAGGACAAAUGGUCACAAAUUUCAUGUCGAUGCAAAUGUAAUGAUACCAAGGGAAAAGAAGAUAAGAAAAAGAAAUCAAAAGCCAAAUCUAAGAAAACAAAAAAAAAGAAGGGAAAGAAAGAAAGCAGUGAGUCUUCAAGUGAAAGUAACGAUGAGGAUCAACUGUCAUGCUGUCCUAAUGUUUUAUUCAAGAAUAAGUAGAAGUCAAAGGACAAGAUAGUGAUAGCCAGUACUGCAGCACAGACAUUAGUGAAUAAAUGGUAAAGAACAAACUAAGAAUAAUGUAACCUUUAAUGAAUUAAACAUGAUGAUUGACCAAUGGAUAUCGGAAACACAAGAAAACCAAAAUGUAUUUCCAUUACAACAUGAAGAACUCAACAAAUUGAUGUUUGGAAUCUGUAAUUGUCAAGAUAAAGUAAAAGUUGCUACUUACUUUCCAAAGAAGCAGUACUUUAAUACUGCUUUGUUUUAGUUGAAAAUUUUGUAUGAGAAAGUAAUGUCGGCAAAAUGUUUUCAAGACAAUAUAGAUCAAAACAUAAAGUAUAUAUUUAAUCGUCAAAAGGAUAUAGAACAAAUGGUUACUAAAUUAGAAUUAGAUGUUAACUCAUCAUGCAAAUGUAAAGUUUCUAAAGAUUUUUAUAGAGAAAAUACGUAAGUUUUCAAAUUGAUACUAUUGGAUAAGUAUAUUAAUGUUUACUUAUUGAUAGAUACAAAGAAGCAGAAAACAUUAAUUCUACAUUUUUAAAUUUUAUACAAGUAUUUGAAGAAUUACAGAAUUGUACCGGACAAAUAAAACAGAAAAACAGUGAUCCUAGCAAUAUUGAACAUAUUGCACAAUUACUGCAAAAUCAAUUACAACAGCUGGAAAAUAUUGAAAUGAAAAUUCACGACAUGAGAAAUCAACUUUAUCAAACUGAAUAUUACAAACAACAUGUAUUAACUUCAUUACAUAUUAAAGAAAACACAUUUUAAGCUGUA